UACAGAGGGUGCGAGCGUUGUUCGGAAUUAUUGGGCGUAAAGGGCGCGUAGGCGGUGCCACAAGUCACUUGUGAAAUCUCCGAGCUUAACUCGGAGCCUGCAGGCGAAACUGUGGUGCUGGAGUGUGGGAGAGGUGCGUGGAAUUCCCGGUGUAGAGGUGAAAUUCGUAGAUAUUGGGAAGAACACCGGUGGCGAAGGCGGCGACCUGGUCCUUGACUGACGCUGAGGCGCGAAAGCGUGGGGAGCAAACAGG
rnacentral:rRNA from 1 species